CUAUAAAAACCGGUCAAGUGCGAGUCGGACUCGCACACGAAGGGUUCCAUACCAUUGUACAACAAAUACCAUUUAAUUUUUUUUCAAUUUUAA